rnacentral:lncRNA from 1 species
GUCUCACUGACUUCAAGAAUGAACCUGUGGACCCUCACGCCCCCACCCUGCAUCCUGUAAGGAUAAGAUGCUUGGAGCAGUAGCUACCACCUUGCAGCUGGAGGAGAACGCCAGGAGAAUUUUAGAGUGCCACCUCAUACUGAGAUUCUCCUUCCUCCAACUUCUUAUUAUAGGAGGGCCAUAUGGGAGGAACUGUGGGUCAUCUCAAGGACCUGAAGGGGACCUCCAGCUGAAAGCCAGUAAGAAGUUGGGGCCUCAGUCAUACAGCUGCAAGGAAAUGAAUUUUUCCAACAACCUGGAUGAGCUUGGAAACAGAUUCUACCCCAGUCAAGUACUCAGGUUUCUACAGCAAUGUUAUCUUGAAUGGUUUGUCAACAUGUUUCACUGAGAAAACUUAAAGCAACUCUGGUAAUUACAAGUGGAACCUUGUUACAAGUGGAACCUUGACAACUUCAGAAGUGACCAUCACAACCAAACAUUCCCUGCUCUGAAUCACCUGACAUUCACUGUCUCAUUCACACCAGCUUCUUCAGGUGGCCCUUGAUGAUCUGCCUGCCUCCACAGAGGCUCAGAAAAUUAGCCUUUUCUUUUUUUCUAGAUUUCACUCUUCAUGAUGGAUGUGAAAGACAGUAAAGUAUGCUAGUUAAAACCCAGCCUCUGGAGACAGACUGAUGUGGGAUCCUAGAAAAGUCGUCUGCACAGAGCAGGGCAUGGCCUGCAUUCCAAAUUUUGUUAUUCUCAAAGGUCAGUUGUUCUCAGUGGCAGACAACAGAAGCCAAGACUUGCUAAGUAAAACAGAAGACAAAUUUGCUGGAAGGACAUGUGAAAAUGGGCACAAAUUAGGAAGCAAGGUCAUACUUGCAUCACUGCUGUUAGGCUGCUACCACUGACUCCUCUGCUCCUGCACUCCCAAAAGCACCAUCAAGAAAAACCCCACACACAGUUCCUUCAUCUUUGCCUUACUUGCUGAAGAUUAGAAGUCCCAGGAUACUGGAUGGCAUGCAGAAUCUUUGGAAGAACAACCAGAUUGCCAGGCAACACAGCUAGAAAAGUGCCCCAAAUCUCACCACAGAACAGAUUUAAUGAAAAUCGCACUUCUGCACUGCUGGGCCAUUAUUACUAUGACCACCGAGAAUGCUGCCUCUAAAGAGUGGAUGGACCUGCUCUCACUGCCCUGCUGCUUCCUGUC